rnacentral:rRNA from 1 species
CGUGUGGUUCUAUUUUGUUGGUUUCUAGGACCGCCGUAAUGAUUAAUAGGGACAGUCGGGGGCAUCAGUAUUCAAUUGUCAGAGGUGAAAUUCUUGGAUUUAUUGAAGACUAACUACUGCGAAAGCAUUUGCCAAGGAUGUUUUCAUUAAUCAGGAACGAAAGUUAGGGGAUCGAAGACGAUCAGAUACCGUCGUAGUCUUAACCAUAAACUAUGCCGACUAGGGAUCGGACGAUGUUAUUAUUUGACUCGUUCGGCACCUUACGAGAAAUCAAAGUGCUUGGGCUCCAGGGGGAGUAUGGUCGCAAGGCUGAAACUUAAAGAAAUUGACGGAAGGGCACCACCAGGGGUGGAGCCUGCGGCUUAAUUUGACUCAACACGGGGAAACUCA